GGAAUGAACGCUGGCGGCAGGCCUAACACAUGCAAGUCGAACGGGCACCUCGGUGCUAGUGGCGGACGGGUGAGUAACGCGUGGGAACAUACCCUUUGGUACGGAAUAGCCCCGGGAAACUGGGAGUAAUACCGUAUGUGGGUCUUCGGACGAAAGAUUUAUCGCCAAAGGAUUGGCCCGCGUUGGAUUAGGUAGUUGGUGGGGUAAUGGCCUACCAAGCCGACGAUCCAUAGCUGGUUUGAGAGGAUGAUCAGCCACACUGGGACUGAGACACGGCCCAGACUCCUACGGGAGGCAGCAGUGGGGAAUCUUAGACAAUGGGGGAAACCCUGAUCUAGCCAUGCCGCGUGAUCGAUGAAGGCCUUAGGGUUGUAAAGGAUCUUUCAGUGGGGAAGAGUAAGUGACGGUACCCACGAGAACGAAGCCCCGGCUAAACUCCGUGCUAAGCAGGCCGC
rnacentral:rRNA from 1 species